AACCAUUGGAAACGAUGGCUAAUACCGCAUGAUGCCUACGGGCCAAAGAGGGGGACCUUCGGGCCUCUCGCGUCAGGAUAUGCCUAGGUGGGAUUAGCUAGUUGGUGAGGUAAUGGCUCACCAAGGCGACGAUCCCUAGCUGGUCUGAGAGGAUGAUCAGCCACACUGGAACUGAGACACGGUCCAGACUCCUACGGGAGGCAGCAGUGGGGAAUAUUGCACAAUGGGCGCAAGCCUGAUGCAGCCAUGCCGCGUGUAUGAAGAAGGCCUUCGGGUUGUAAAGUACUUUCAGUCGUGAGGAAGGUGGUGUUGUUAAUAGCAGCAUCAUUUGACGUUAGCGACAGAAGAAGCACCGGCUAACUCCGUGCCAGCAGCCGCGGUAAUACGGAGGGUGCGAGCGUUAAUCGGAAUUACUGGGCGUAAAGCGCAUGCAGGUGGUGGAUUAAGUCAGAUGUGAAAGCCCGGGGCUCAACCUCGGAACCGCAUUUGAAACUGGUUCACUAAAGUACUGUACAGGGGGGUACAAUUUCCAGUGUAACG
rnacentral:rRNA from 1 species